CAAUAGCGUAUAUUAAAGUUGUUGCGGUUAAAAAGCUCGUAGUUGGAUUUCUGCCGAGGACGACCGGUCCGCCCUCUGGGUGUGUAUCUGGUUUGGCCUGGGCAUCUUCUUGGAGAACGUAGCUGCACUUGACUGUGUGGUGCGGUGUCCAGGACUUUUACUUUGAGGAAAUUAGAGUGUUUCAAGCAGGCCUACGCUCUGAAUACAUUAGCAUGGAAUAACACGAUAGGACUCUGGCCUAUCUUGUUGGUCUGUAGGACCGGAGUAAUGAUUAAGAGGGACAGUCGGGGGCAUUCGUAUUUCAUUGUCAGAGGUGAAAUUCUUGGAUUUAUGAAAGACGAACUACUGCGAAAGCAUUUGCCAAGGAUGUUUUCAUUAA
rnacentral:rRNA from 1 species